UGAAAAGAGACUCAUGUUGCCCACUCUAA
rnacentral:piRNA from 1 species